AGGUUCGCUGUUGGUGAAGUUUAAAAAAAAACGAAAUGGGGAAAUCUUUCGAUAUCUCGAUAUUGUAUCCGUUGAACUUAAAUGCAGGCGCAUUGGUGAGCGACGCGCACGACGCUGCCGCCCCCCGCCACGCCUACCAAACCACGUAAAACCGGGGCUUCAUUGUACGGUAUAUAGUUCACAUUGGUUUAAUAUAAAUAUUAACGAAAACCGGGAAUUACAUUGGAAUUUCAAAAGCCACAUUCGUCUGAUCUGUGUUGAAUUUAAUAAAGGCGUCGUAUAUUGUGUAUUGUUAACACUAUUUUUUGAGAAAGCACAUUUCAAUUAGACGUAGACUACACGUAUAAAUCAUACAAGUCCCGAGGCUUUUAUUAUGUCUUUGAUAAAUAAGUACCAACGUAAUCUUGCUCCUAUCUAUUGUUAUAUAUGAAACAUUAGUCUGAUUAACUGAUUACAUCUAACGGAUAUUGAAAUUUUAAGUUUAGGGAUUAUAAACCUAGGCAUUAAGUACAUUCGAUAUUAAAAAGCAUUUUAUGAAAUUAUAAAAUGAAAAAUAGAA